GGGUUGUGAGGUUAAGCGACUAAGCGUACACGGUGGAUGCCCUGGCAGUCAGAGGCGAUGAAGGACGUGCUAAUCUGCGAUAAGCGUCGGUAAGGUGAUAUGAACCGUUAUAACCGGCGAUUUCCGAAUGGGGAAACCCAGUGUGAUUCGUCACACUAUCAUUAACUGAAUCCAUAGGUUAAUGAGGCGAACCGGGGGAACUGAAACAUCUAAGUACCCCGAGGAAAAGAAAUCAACCGAGAUUCCCCCAGUAGCGGCGAGCGAACGGGGAGCAGCCCAGAGCCUGAAUCAGUGUGUGUGUUAGUGGAAGCGUCUGGAAAGGCGCGCGAUACAGGGUGACAGCCCCGUACACAAAAAUGCACAUGCUGUGAGCUCGAUGAGUAGGGCGGGACACGUGGUAUCCUGUCUGAAUAUGGGGGGACCAUCCUCCAAGGCUAAAUACUCCUGACUGACCGAUAGUGAACCAGUACCGUGAGGGAAAGGCGAAAAGAACCCCGGCGAGGGGAGUGAAAAAGAACCUGAAACCGUGUACGUACAAGCAGUGGGAGCACGCUUAGGCGUGUGACUGCGUACCUUUUGUAUAAUGGGUCAGCGACUUAUAUUCUGUAGCAAGGUUAACCGAAUAGGGGAGCCGAAGGGAAACCGAGUCUUAACUGGGCGUUAAGUUGCAGGGUAUAGACCCGAAACCCGGUGAUCUAGCCAUGGGCAGGUUGAAGGUUGGGUAACACUAACUGGAGGACCGAACCGACUAAUGUUGAAAAAUUAGCGGAUGACUUGUGGCUGGGGGUGAAAGGCCAAUCAAACCGGGAGAUAGCUGGUUCUCCCCGAAAGCUAUUUAGGUAGCGCCUCGUGAAUUCAUCUCCGGGGGUAGAGCACUGUUUCGGCAAGGGGGUCAUCCCGACUUACCAACCCGAUGCAAACUGCGAAUACCGGAGAAUGUUAUCACGGGAGACACACGGCGGGUGCUAACGUCCGUCGUGAAGAGGGAAACAACCCAGACCGCCAGCUAAGGUCCCAAAGUCAUGGUUAAGUGGGAAACGAUGUGGGAAGGCCCAGACAGCCAGGAUGUUGGCUUAGAAGCAGCCAUCAUUUAAAGAAAGCGUAAUAGCUCACUGGUCGAGUCGGCCUGCGCGGAAGAUGUAACGGGGCUAAACCAUGCACCGAAGCUGCGGCAGCGACACUAUGUGUUGUUGGGUAGGGGAGCGUUCUGUAAGCCUGUGAAGGUGUACUGUGAGGUAUGCUGGAGGUAUCAGAAGUGCGAAUGCUGACAUAAGUAACGAUAAAGCGGGUGAAAAGCCCGCUCGCCGGAAGACCAAGGGUUCCUGUCCAACGUUAAUCGGGGCAGGGUGAGUCGACCCCUA
rnacentral:rRNA from 1 species